rnacentral:rRNA from 1 species
CGGACGGGUGAGUAACGCGUGAGAACCUACCCCUAGGUUCGGGAUAACAGUUGGAAACACUGCUAAUACCGGAUGUGCCGCGAGGUGAAAGAUUUAUGCCUGGGGAUGGGCUUGCGUCAGAUUAGCUAGUUGGUGGGGUAACGGCCUACCAAGGCACGAUCUGUAGCUGGUCUGAGAGGAUGAUCAGCCACACUGGGACUGAGACACGGCCCAGCUCCUACGGGAGGCAGCAGUGGGGAAUUUUCCGCAAUGGGCGAAAGCCUGACGGAGCAAACCGCGUGAGGGACGAAGGUCUGUGGAUUGUAAACCUCUUUUCUCUGGGACGAUGUGACGGUACCAGAGGAAUAAGCAUCGACUAACUCCGUCCAGCAGCCGCGGUAAGACGGAGGAUGCAAGCGUUAUCCGGAAUUAUUGGGCGUAAAGCUAUGUAGGCGGCUUGCCAAGUCCUUUGUCAAAGCGUGGGGCUUAACCCCAUAACGGCGAGGAAACUGGUAGGCUAGAGUACAGUAGGGGCAGGAGGAAUUCCCGGUGUAGCGGUGAAAGCGUAGAUAUCGGGAAGAACACCAGUGGCGAAGGCGUCCUGCUGGGCUGUAACUGACGUGAGGUACGAGAGCUAGGGGAGCGAAAGGGAUUAGAUACCCCUGUAGU